GGUCUGGUGGCCUAGUGGUUAGAGCAUUUGCCUCAGAUGUGGGAGGUUGUGGGUUCGAUUCCAGUUGAGACAUACCA